rnacentral:lncRNA from 1 species
UUAAAGGCCUUUUUCUUCACAGGAGAAUGGGAUGGAGCUGAACAGGAGGCUCACCAUCAUUGACAGCCAGUUGAGAAGGUCUGAACUCACACGGAAACAUCUGGAGAUAUCCAACAAGAAGCUACUUGGCUUUGCACAGAAUGUCCACAAAGUUCUCCCUAAUACCAACUUAUUUGGGAUUGAAAGUGGGUGCGCACAAGCGUCUCCAGUGACCGACAGCCCCGACACACCCUCCCCGAUCCCAGACCCCACCUGCCAACUCGCAGCUGAGGCCAAAGUGCUCGUAGAUGGUGUCUGCUCACUUUGCACUGAGGACCACACAUUAGUGCAGUACGUAGAGGGAGACGUUGUGAAGGCUGAAGAGGACUGUGAUUCCGACCUCAUUCAGUGGCCACAACCUCCUGUCCUCGGGGCUCCUGCAGUAGAGCGAAGAGGUCAGUAGAGCAUCUGGGAUGGACAGACAAACUGGGCUCAUUCAGAACACCAAGGUCAAUCUGCAACUAUACCGUGGAAAAUAAGAGACUGUGAAGAUUUGCGGUGUGGUUUGUACUCUUUCAAGCAGUUAUCAGACGCUUGAGCUCUACUGAUCAAACUCAUACUCAUUUUUUAAAGCAGUCCGUGUACAUAUUUAACAUGUAGCAGUACUGAGUGUCAUUACAUAAAGGCAGAAACCAACCGAGGGAAUUCAAAUCUGAAACACAGACGUCACUGUUAACAGCAGAGGUGACUUUGAGAUGCUCAAAUGUGAUUUCAACCGUGUCUUAAUAACACUUAUAGCAGAUGAAGCAGAACCUCUCUAUUAGAGUUAGGUAUAUUAUACAGUACAUGUAUUACAUUUCACUUAGGGAUCUUCGGGACAGUCCCCACUCUUCAUCAUUUGAUAUGAUGCUUAUUUGUAUCUGUUCUGAGAAGUGCUAUGAUGUUUUAAAGAUUUAAUAUUUUCGGUCCAAAUCUUUUAUUAUUCAGAGACGCGUAGACACGCUCGCUUCUAAGUAUGUGAGCGGUUGCCGUCAUAAACCUUGUAAAUCUCACCGUCGAACCCUUCGAUGUCCUCUUCAUGUCUUUGCCGAUCAUGUCAGUCUACGCUGGGACGCAUUUGCGGUGCAGGUCAGUCCAAUGUCACCCAGCAUCCACUGCAUUACGAUCAGUUAUGGUCUGUUAAGUGCUUUGGGGGGAUCCUUCAUGGUUCGUUUCGUUGAUGGACGUUGAUUGCUCCAUCUCGGCAUCUUUGGGACAAUACUGAUUGUUCUAGGGGGGGGUUUCUUGUCAUGACACUGGUGUUGAGUAAUGGGAGUCAUAUUGCAGUGUUUCACCCCGAAUGCAUCCAUUCAGCUGAACAAUGCACAUGGUUCGGGUUACUGUUUUCAUAAGCACACUGUAUUUGGCUGUUUUGUCUUGCCGUAUAGGAUCUACAGUCACUUAUAUCAAUGUGUAAUAAGCUGGUGUCAUUCAUUUCCUGAGGACAGAGGUGUACGGUUAUGCAGAUGGUUUGUUGAUAUUAAUAACAGCACAUGCUUUGCAAAUGCUGACAUGUAGUCCUGUGAUUUAACUAGAUUGCAUCAUAUGUGUGGCCUAAAUAUCUUUCUUUUAAUGUUUUUAUUAAAGUCGGAACA